GCACAGCCACAGGGCAGGGAGCCCCUCAACACUACGCCCACUGCAGGCAGCGGGGGGCUCAAUGCUGCCCUGUGUUUCCAGGAGCUUUGGUGUCCCCCCACCCAAACCCAUGCUUCUCCUUCAUAGCUGACUCCCAGCUCGGGAUUUUAACUUUGGGUGUAUAUGUGGAUGUCUAUAUAUUCAGGUACUGUGUAUAUUUUAGCUAUAUAUAAUGAGCAUAUCUGGCUAUAAAUGUGGUUUGUCAGUAUGUAUUUCCUCUGUGUACAUACAUCAGUGGAUGGGUUCACUUGGUGAAUUCAUUGUGAGGUUUCCGUGCUGCUAAGACACUUUAAAAAGGAAAAACAAAACAAAACACGAGUAUUGCAAUGGAAAUGAAGCUGCUUUGGCAUCCUCACCUUGCUCCUGGGUGGGAGGAGAGACGGGGGAGCUUUGGGCAGCAGUUUUAGCCCUGGAUCUGCAUGAUCCCCUCCCUGCCAGGAGGCUUGGAAGGAAGUGGGAAGGCUUCCAGCUGGGAGCUGCCUGGCUGCAGGCUCUGGCAGGGAACAGACUUUGUUUGUACAAGCAUCAGCUCCUAGCUCUGAGCAGAGUGAGAGGGACUCAGAAUAACUCUGGGGCUCCAUGUGGGGUUUUGCUCUCUGCAUUUGGGAAAGCGAGACGUGGGCAGGCUGGGAGUUGGGCAGAGAGGAGGAUGGUGAGGUUCAGCAAGGGCGAGUGUGGGGUCCUACAGCUGGGGGGGAGUAACUGCAUGCAUCAGGAUAGGUUGGGGGUGAGCUGGAAAAGAGCUUUGUGGGGAAGGACCUGGGUGUUGUGGUUGACCAGCAGUUGGCCGACCAUUGACCACAACUGUUGUCCCCAGUUUAUGGUCACCUUGAGUGCAUUGCAAUGGGACUCUGGGGGGUGCAUUGCACACAGCGUGGCCAGCAGGGUAACUGGUUCUCCUGCCUUCUGCUCUGCCCUGGUGAAGCCACAUCUGGAGCACUGAGCCCAUUGCUGGGCCCCCCAGUUCCAGGCAGACAGGAAACUGAUGGGGAAAGGCUGAGAGCCCUGGGUCUGUUCAGCCUGGAGAAGACAGAGGGGAUGUUAUCUCUCUGGAGAUGUUCAAAACCCACCUGGGUGCUUUCCUGUGCAACCUGCCCUAGGGAACCUGCUUUAGGAGGGGUUGGACCAGAACUUCCAUUCCAACCCCUGUGCUUUUGGGAUUCUGCACCCCACGCAUGGCAAAGCAUACAGCCCCAAAGCAGAGCCCUUUUAAUUCCCACCGCCUCUCCAGCUGCUGAAGGAGGAGGAUGGGAACAAACCCCACAAAUCUUCUCUGCGGCUCUCCAAGAAAAACAGCAGCAACCCGAUCCCUUCCCGUGCGUGCCUCCCAGCCCUGUGUUUGUCCUGGAAGCGAAGCCCCAUGGACGUGCUGCUGCUGGGUGUGCUGCUGCUGGGUGUGCUGCUGCCCACCGCCCAAUUAUCCACCUCCCCACUGCCCCCCACACCACGCGAGCUGGCCCGCACCGUGCUGGAGGCACACGGGCGCGAUGCGGGCAGCAGGCUGAGGCUGCUCAAGCUGCAAGGAGUCACCAGGACGGUAGGAACCUCGCUCGGGUUUCCCGUUGGGUUUUGGGAAGAGGGAGCCUUCUCGCUAUGCCAAAUGCUGUCGUUUCCUUGCAGAAGUUUGACUGGGGCACGCACUUCACCAUCAAUCUCACCGCUCGUGAGACCGCCUGCCCUGCCGGCCCCACUGCGCCACGCGGUGCUGCAUGCAGAGCCCGGCCGGGCCAGGUCCAGCACUGCGUGGCUCAGAUCUCCGUCUUUGCCUUCCUGCCUGACGUGCCGCUGUCGUUGCUGGAGUGCAGCCGGCAGACGCCCAGCAGCUCAGGGCAGCCCCGCUCCCGAAGCCGGCACAGCCCUGCAACUCCACAAGCUGUUGGCCUCAGGGAGCUGGCACCGUCCUGA
rnacentral:lncRNA from 1 species